rnacentral:rRNA from 1 species
UACGGGGGGGGGCAAGCGUUGUUCGGAAUUACUGGGCGUAAAGGGUUCGUAGGUGGCCAACUAAGCCAGACGUGAAAUCCCUCAGCUUAACUGGGGAACUGCGUCUGGGACUGGAUGGCUUGAGUGCAGGAGAGGACGCGGAAUUCCAGGUGUAGCGGUGAAAUGCGUAGAUAUCUGGAGGAACACCGGUGGCGAAGGCGGCGUUCUGGACUGCAACUGACACUGAGGAACGAAAGCCAGGGGAGCAAACGGGAUUAGAACCUACCGUGU